rnacentral:pre_miRNA from 1 species
UUCCUUUUUCCUAUGCAUAUACUUCUUUGAGGAUUUGACCUAAAGAGGUAUAGAGCAUGGGAAAAUGGGGC